rnacentral:lncRNA from 1 species
GAAGCUAAGUAAUUCUGAUGAAACCAAGUCUAUAAUAGUCCAAGUUGCCGACCAGAUCAUGAUGUUGUUCCUAAAGGUUUUUGCCUGUCGUAGCUCAACUGUCCAUGAAGAGGCUAUGCUUGCUAUUGGAGCUCUGGCCUAUGCAACUGGAUCAGGCUUCUUGAAGUAUAUGCCAGAGUUUUACAAGUAUCUGGAGAUGGUAUGCUUGCUAUUGGAGCUCUGGCAGAUGCAACUGGAUCAGGCUUCUUGAAGUAUAUGCCAGAGUUUUACAAGUAUCUGGAGAUGGGGCUGCAGAAUUUUGAAGAGUACCAGGUCUGUUCCAUCUCUGUGGGGGUGGUUGGUGAUAUUUGCCGU